UAGAGUACAGGCUGGCCUUAAGGGACCCCUCCCCCUCUGUGAGUGCACGAAUUUCAUGUCCCAGGCCUCUAGUUUAUAAUUGAAAUAGAGUAGAUUAUCUCUUGGCAAACAUGUCAUUGCUUAUAAACACAUUUAUGAGGUGUCUAAUGGUUCAAGACCCCUUAUAACUGUGCGAGGUGUGUGUGUAGAGAGAGAGAGAGAGACAUGUAUUUCAAAAUAUCCUUUCAUUGGGUAUUAAAUGUCUUUUUCAUGUCCAUUCCUUGGUGUUAAACUCAGUAGUCUGGAGCACAGUAAUAGUCUAGUUGCCUACUGAAGCCUAACAGAUCAAUAUCAAUAAUCUUGUUACUUAAUUUAAGCUACUUAAUAUUUCUAGGCAAAUUAAAAUAAUUGGCUUUUUCAAAUCUGUUCUGUCUUUUACUUCAUAGUGGUUUAAAAUAGAAGUGUGGAAGUCAGAUUGCGGUUUGAAUCCUGACUUUGUUAAUAAUCUUUUUUUUUUUUUUUUAACCUCAGUUUCUAAAGAAGGUAAUGUAUAGUACAGUAUAGGUCAGAGUUUCUCAAUAUUAAGUAAGCAUCAGAAUCACCUGGAGGGUUAAUUAAACCACAGAUGUCUUAGUUCCACCCUGAGUUUCUGGUGUGGGGGGAGAACCAAGAAUUUUCAUUUUCAACAGGCUCCUAAAUUUAGCACACAGUGUUUAGCUCCCUAAAGUUUCAGUUGUUUAGUGAAUUUAGUUAUGUGUUUUUCUUUCAGCUUUCUUUUUUGCUUUCCUUUUAUAUGCCACUUUCCUUAAUCCCCAACAAAAUGACAUUGAACCCAUUAUUACAUUUUCCACUUGGGGACCUUGAAAAGAAGUUUGUUUUAGGGGAAAUGAAUGGGAAAGAAUGUUGAAUGUUUGAGGAUUAAAAAAUAUUUUUUUCAUCUAAUUUGACUUUGUUUUAUUUUACUUAAUCUACUCAGAAGUUUUCACCUUUUUUAUAGUAAUUAAGAGCAAAUCUUACAGCCUGUUAUAGAAUGCUUAUUGCAUAUUCUAAAUGUAUUUGUACUUGUACUUAACCAAUGUAUAAAAAAUUUUUUUGUAUCUAAAAGACAUUUCUUUAAAACAGUUUUAAGUGUAAAUUACAAGUGAUCUAAGCUGUGGUACGCUAAUGCUUCAGUGCAUGGAAAUCCUAGGAUUGUUUUUUGAGUUAUUCCUUAAUUACAUAAAAGUCUUGUGGUAAAAAAUAUAUAAGCAUUCCCCUCUGGAGUUGUGUAAUGGAUGGGUGUUGUAAAUUUAUAGCUAGUUGCAUGUAUAAUUUUCUCCUGAAUUAUUGACAUGUUUGGAGUAUGAAGCAGUAGAGGUGACGUUAAUAGAUAUUUUACUUUGUGUAUGUGUAUUGAUAUUGCAAAUGCAAUUGAAAUUCUUUGAAGAUUAAAAGAAA